GUUUCCGUCGGUGACCAGCGGAAGGAUCAUUGCCGUUCGUAAUCUUCUGUGAGCGGGCCGCGGCCGAGUCGCGCCCAUGUAAGCGCAGUUUCGCGGAGUGGUGUCUCUCGAUAAGCGCGGACUGUGACGAUCCGGCUAUCGGGGGGGUCGUGCGCGCCGUCGAGCCGGCACUCUCGGUCGCAAGCCCGAGGUGGACGGCGGGCGCGCACGUCCGGCUCUUCGGCCUCUGGCGAGGCUGCGGAAGGCUUCGUUAGCGGAGCGGGUCCGGAGGCGCGACACGAACACAUUCGGCCGUCGUCUCGGACCAGCAGAGAACGUCUGAGCGAAUCUUGUGCGUGUAGAACGCGCGAGUCGAACUGGAAAAAACAACUCCGUGCGGUGGAUCACUUGGCUCCCGGGUCGAUGAAGAACGCAGCAAACUGCGCGUGAUAAUGUGAAUUGCAGGGCACAUUGAUCAUUGACGAUUCGAACGCUAAUUGCGGGCGUGUUGAGGUUAUUCUCAUACGCCCGCGUCCGUCCGAGGGUCGGUUCAGUCAGAGACCGGAACGGUGAUCGCUCUUUAACCGAGUGAACGUGCCGUGUCCGCGUCUUGCGUCUGCGCAGGCGUGCAGAAAGCCCGUCUUGCCGGAUUGCUUCGGCCAGAUGGAAGAAGGGCGCCGCGUUCAGUCAACUAGGUGCUUCGCGAUGGUUGUGCGAUGCUCGUUCUAGUGACGCGUGAACCCCGAAGCGCCAGAAAUCGUUCUGCGACCUCGGAUCGGGCGAGAGUACCCGCCGAACUUAAGCAUAUCA
rnacentral:misc_RNA from 1 species